GACGAACGCUGGCGGCGUGCUUAACACAUGCAAGUCGAACGGAAAGGCCCUGCUUUUGUGGGGUGCUCGAGUGGCGAACGGGUGAGUAACACGUGAGUAACCUGCCCUUGACUUUGGGAUAACUUCAGGAAACUGGGGCUAAUACCGGAUAGGAGCUCCUGCUGCAUGGUGGGGGUUGGAAAGUUUCGGCGGUUGGGGAUGGACUCGCGGCUUAUCAGCUUGUUGGUGGGGUAGUGGCUUACCAAGGCUUUGACGGGUAGCCGGCCUGAGAGGGUGACCGGCCACAUUGGGACUGAGAUACGGCCCAGACUCCUACGGGAGGCAGCAGUGGGGAAUAUUGCACAAUGGGCGGGAGCCUGAUGCAGCAACGCCGCGUGCGGGAUGACGGCCUUCGGGUUGUAAACUGCUUUCGCCUGUGACGAAGCGUGAGUGACGGUAAUGGGUAAAGAAGCACCGGCUAACUACGUG
rnacentral:rRNA from 1 species